CUACGGGUCGCUGCAGUGAGGAAUAUUGCACAAUGGGGGGAACCCUGAUGCAGCAACGCCGCGUGGAGGAUGACGCAUUUCUGUUUUUAAACUCCUUUUAUAUGUCAAGAAAAUGACGGUAGCAUAUGAAUAAGCACCGGCUAACUCCGUGCCAGCAGCCGCGGUAAUACGGAGGGUGCAAGCGUUACUCGGAAUCACUGGGCGUAAAGGACGCGUAGGCGGGUUGGAAAGUCAGGUGUGAAAUCCUACAGCUUAACUGUAGAACUGCACUUGAAACUUCUAAUCUAGAGUAUGGGAGGGGGAGAUGGAAUUAGUGGUGUAGGGGUAAAAUCCGUAGAUAUCACUAGGAAUACCUAAAGCGAAGGCGAUCUCCUGGAACAUUACUGACGCUAAGGCGUGAAAGCGUGGGGAGCAAACAGGAUUAGAUACCCGGGUAGUC
rnacentral:rRNA from 1 species